CCUACGGGAGGCAGCAGUGGGGAAUUUUGGACAAUGGGCGCAAGCCUGAUCCAGCAAUGCCGCGUGAGUGAAGAAGGCCUUCGGGUUGUAAAGCUCUUUUGUCAGGGAAGAAACGGUGGAGGCUAAUAUCCUUUGCUAAUGACGGUACCUGAAGAAUAAGCACCGGCUAACUACGUGCCAGCAGCCGCGGUAAUACGUAGGGUGCAAGCGUUAAUCGGAAUUACUGGGCGUAAAGCGUGCGCAGGCGGUUUUGUAAGUUUGUCGUGAAAUCCCCGGGCUCAACCUGGGAAUGGCGAUGAAGACUGCAAGGCUAGAAUCUGGCAGAGGGGGGUAGAAUUCCACGUGUAGCAGUGAAAUGCGUAGAGAUGUGGAGGAACACCGAUGGCGAAGGCAGCCCCCUGGGUCAAGAUUGACGCUCAUGCACGAAAGCGUGGGGAGCAAACAGGAUUAGAUACCCUGGUAGUCCACGCCCUAAACGAUGUCUACUAGUUGUCGGGUUUUAAUUAACUUGGUAACGCAGCUAACGCGUGAAGUAGACCGCCUGGGGAGUACGGUCGCAAGAUUAAAACCUCAAAUGAAUUGACGGCUGGAGACGUGCGACGACGACGACGAGGGAGGAGG
rnacentral:rRNA from 1 species